rnacentral:rRNA from 1 species
GAUGAACGCUGGCGGCGUGCCUAAUACAUGCAAGUCGAGCGAACAGACGAGGAGCUUGCUCCUCUGACGUUAGCGGCGGACGGGUGAGUAACACGUGGAUAACCUACCUAUAAGACUGGGAUAACUUCGGGAAACCGGAGCUAAUACCGGAUAAUAUAUUGAACCGCAUGGUUCAAUAGUGAAAGACGGUUUUGCUGUCACUUAUAGAUGGAUCCGCGCCGCAUUAGCUAGUUGGUAAGGUAACGGCUUACCAAGGCAACGAUGCGUAGCCGACCUGAGAGGGUGAUCGGCCACACUGGGACUGAGACCCGGUCCAGACUCCUUGGGGAGGCAGCCAGAGGGAAUCUUGCGCAAUGGGCGAAAACCUGACGGAGAAACGCCGCGGGAGUGAUGAAGGACUUCGGAUCGUAAAACUCUGUUUUUAGGGAAGAAACAAUGUGUAAGUAACUAUGCACGUCUUGACGGUACCUAAGCAGAAAGCCACGGCUAACUACGUG